UCCAAGCACCAUUACUGAAGAGAGUA
rnacentral:piRNA from 1 species